rnacentral:rRNA from 1 species
GAUGAACGCUGGCGGCGUGCUUAACACAUGCAAGUCGAACGAAGCACUUUAUUUGAUUUCCUUCGGGACUGAUUAUUUUGUGACUGAGUGGCGGACGGGUGAGUAACGCGUGGGUAACCUGCCUUGUACAGGGGGAUAACAGUUGGAAACGGCUGCUACUACCGCAUAAGCGCACGGCAUCGCAUGAUGCAGUGUGAAAAACUCCGGUGGUAUAAGAUGGACCCGCGUUGGAUUAGCUAGUUGGUGAGGUAACGGCCCACCAAGGCGACGAUCCAUAGCCGACCUGAGAGGGUGACCGGCCACAUUGGGACUGAGACACGGCCCAAACUCCGACGGGAGGCAGCAGUGGGGAAUAUUGCACAAUGGGCGAAAGCCUGAUGCAGCGACGCCGCGUGAGAGAAGAAGUAUUUCGGUAUGUAAAGCUCUAUCAGCAGGGAAGAGAAUGACGGUACCUGACUAAGAAGCACCGGCUAAAUACGUG